ACCAUGCAGUCGAACGCCCGAGCAAUCGGGAGUGGCAGACGGGUGAGUAACACGUGGGAACAUACCCUUUGGUUCGGAACAACGCCGGGAAACUGGCGCUAAUACCGGAUACGCCCUUUGGGGGAAAGGCUUGCCGCCGAAGGAGUGGCCCGCGUUCGAUUAGCUAGAUGGCGGGGUAACGGCCCACCAUGGCGACGAUCGAUAGCUGGUCUGAGAGGAUGGCCAGCCACAUUGGGACUGAGACACGGCCCAAACUCCUACGGGAGGCAGCAGUGGGGAAUAUUGGACAAUGGGCGCAAGCCUGAUCCAGCCAUGCCGCGUGAGUGAUGAAGGCCUUAGGGUUGUAAAGCUCUUUCGCACGCGACGAUAAUGACGGUAGCGUGAGAAGAAGCCCCGGCUAACUUCGUGCCAGCAGCCGCGGUAAUACGAAGGGGGCUAGCGUUGUUCGGAAUCACUGGGCGUAAAGGGUGCGCAGGCGGGUUCAUAAGUCAGGGGUGAAAUCCCGAGGCUCAACCUCGGAACUGCCUUUGAUACUGUGGAUCUUGAGUCCGGAAGAGGUGAGUGGAACUGCGAGUGUAGAGGUGAAAUUCGUAGAUAUUCGCAAGAACACCGGUGGCGAAGGCGGCUCACUGGUCCGGAACUGACGCUGAGGCACGACAGCGUGGGGAGCAAACAGGAUUAGAUACCCUGGUAGUCCACGCCGUAACGAUGAAUGCCAGCCGUUGGGUGAUUUAUCACUGAGUGGCGCAGCUAACGCUUUGAGCAUCGCCUGGGAGUA
rnacentral:rRNA from 1 species